UUUGUUUAUUUUUUCUUUGAUUUGUUUCCUAAAAAGAAGAGAAAUAAAAACUGAUGUCUUUAUUUAACCUAAUCUGUUAUUACAGUUAUUUACUUUUAGUUAUAUAAUUCAUAUACAUAUAAUUUAUAUAAUUUCAUAUAAUUUAG